rnacentral:rRNA from 1 species
UACGUAGGGGGCUAGCGUUGUCCGGAUUUAUUGGGCGUAAAGCGUGCGCAGGCGGUUUUGUAAGCCAGAUGUGAAAUCCCCGGGCUUAACCUGGGAAUGGCAUUUGGGACUGCAAGGCUUGAGUGCGGCAGAGGAGACUAGAAUUCCUGGUGUAGCAGUGAAAUGCGUAGAUAUCGGAAGGAACACCAGUGGCGAAAGCGGCUUCCUGGUCCAGCACCGACGUUCAGGCACGAAAGCGUGGGGAGCAAACAGG